UACGGAGGGUGCUAGCGUUGUUCGGAAUCACUGGGCGUAAAGGGCGUGUAGGCGGUCUGUUAAGUCUGAUGUGAAAUCCCCUCGCUCAACGAGGGAACUGCGUCGGAUACUGGCAGACUCGAGUACCGGAGAGGAAGGUGGAAUUCCGGUGUAGCGGUGAAAUGCGUAGAUAUCGGGAGGAACACCGGUGGCGAAGGCGGCCUCUGGACGGAUAC
rnacentral:rRNA from 1 species